CUAGAACAGAAUGGCAAUUUUCGUGUGGUGUUAAUUUCCGUGGAAGAAGAAAAGGCUCGACUCUCUGUCCUAUUUUUCAUGAAUACUGGAAGUAGGGAAUAAACCUGGAGUCUCACGGGUGAAAAGAGACAUUUCCAUAUCACCAGACCACAAACGUGGGUGUUGAUUCUAAGGAUACCCCCAAUAAACAUCUUUCGUGCUAAAGCCCAUUCCAGAAUUUACUUCCCAGCUAUCUUUGAUGUUCAUAUUGUCAGAGGUGGUGGCCGCUGAAACAGGCAAAGACAUGGAGCAUAUCUUGGGUCCAGGACCUUGGGAGUCCAGAGGAAGGUCUUUUUACCAUCAGCAUUCUCUACUGUGUUCAAUGACUGUCAGCCAAAGAUGGCCAGCUUUCCUUCAGAAAGAAAUGCAUUCAAAGAACCUACAUUCACAACAUAAAGAAAUAAAGGACGUUCCACCUGUUAAGGGUAAACAUAUGAUGGAAGUAUUGCCUCCUGAGAAAGCACAGUGUUCUGAUGGACAGACUAAGUAGAGGCAUAUCUUAGAAACAUGCCCCAGACGGAACAGUAAUGGCCUGUGAAUCUGUGCUUCCACAGCCUGCACCUACAGAUCUACACACAUGCCCAUGCACAUGCAGGAAGUGUUCAUCUAAGACUGGACCUUUUAGAAGAAAGCUGGCAUACAUUCGUGAAGGCAUGGGCUUCCAGGCAUGUCAUCUUCACUCACGAAGCACACACAAGACCGCCAAGCAUUAAGAUUCUCCUGUGGAGCCAGGCUACAAUCCUUUAAAUGAAGACAGACAGCUAGGUGGCUGCAGCCCAGCGCUACACCUCACCCCUCCCUCAGUGUCAUGCAGAAAAAAUGUAUUCAGAACUCAGAAGUGAAGUUGUGCAAAUCCAUCAUUGACACUAGCUUCAAGGUUACCUCGGGGGAGCAGAAUGUACCCCUGCCAGAGAGCUGGAUAGAUGAUGAUGGGGACAGAAAUUCUGGGGGAGUUGUAAAUGGCAGCCACUGCCUCUAUAGGAAACCCAAAGGGAACACAGCAGAAGAGGAGGUGGUGGAGGAGCCACUGCCCUCUCGAAGGGUUCAAUGUCAUUCUGCAGACACAACCAAAUAACUUUUUCUUCCCUGCUGCUCCUCCAUUUGAAAUGACAGCCCCGAGCUCGCUUUUUCCUUGAUUGUGUAACUCUGAUUACAGACAAGGCCAAGGCAAUCCCAGGGCAUUACUACAAAGCUAAGGGGUCCCCAAAGAACUAAAGAGUCAGCUCCACAAAAAUCCCGAUUCCUAGCAUGAAACUGAAAUAUGAAACCAAACGGGCAUAGAAAAGGUAUGUGCAUUCGAAUCACAUAGCAGUGACUGGAGUCCUGAGCUGUGUCUGAAGACUGUGAGAUCACGUUUGGAGCUGCUGAUUGGUUUUCAGUGAUGGCCCUGUUGCACAGUGCCGUGAGACUUAGCUCCAUGGCCAAAGACGAUGGUAUCCCCUAGGAGCCCUGUGAGGUUGCUGCUGUUCUCUUAAGACACCAGGUAGCCAUCUGAUCCUCCCUGAGCAAACUAACUGGGCAGACAGGUUUAUUAAACCUCUGUUGGUCCGACUUACAUGAAACAAGAGAGUUAUUUUGUUGUUGUUGUUUUGUUUUGUUUUAAAUUAAACCUGUCUUUGGAGCCUCCUGCUCUUAGUUUACAAGUCUUCUUUGCACACUCUAAUAUUUUAAGAAGCAGCAAACAUUAACUGAGGGUCUA
rnacentral:lncRNA from 10 species